rnacentral:rRNA from 1 species
GAUGAACGCUAGCGGGAGGCCUAACACAUGCAAGCCGAGCGGGAUUUGUUGGUUAGCUUGCUAACUAACAAUGAGAGCGGCGUACGGGUGCGUAGCACGUGUGCAACCUGCCUUUAUCUGGGGGAUAGCCUUUCGAAAGGAAGAUUAAUACCCCAUAACAUAUUGAUUCGCAUCAGUUAAUAUUGAAAGCUCCGGCGGAUAGAGAUGGGCACGCGUAAGAUUAGCUAGUUGGUGAGGUAACGGCUCACCAAGGCUGCGAUCUUUAGGGGGCCUGAGAGGGGGAUCCCCCACACUGGUACUGAGACACGGACCAGACUCCUACGGGAGGCAGCAGUGAGGAAUAUUGGACAAUGGGUGAGAGCCUGAUCCAGCCAUCCCGCGUGAAGGACUAAGGACCUAUGGUUUGUAAACUUCUUUUAUACAGGGAUAAACCUACUCUCGUGAGGGUAGCUGAAGGUACUGGAUGAAUAAGCACCGGCUAACUCCGUG